UUUUAAUUUUCUCCAGGACAAACCCAUGAGAUGUCAAAUUGGGCUUUUAAGGUGCUCAGCAACAUUUCCAAGGUCAUGGAUCCAGAUCUGGCAAAAGUCCCAGUUAUCUCUGGAUAUAUCCUCAGUUAUAUAAAAGGAUAAAAGAUCAAUAAGGGUGCCUAAGUACAACUUCCAAGCAAAGAAGAUUCUUUUCAUUAAAAGCCAAGGCCAAAUUCCAAAAACCAAGCUUCAGUUUCUCUUAUUUUGUUUCUUUGAGUUAAGCCCAAGCUCAUAGGUCAUAUUUUGACACAAACAUUGGCCUUUUGGUCAUGAGAAACAGCAAACAUGCAUUACAAGUUCUUAGGUGACGCUGAUGCUGCUGGUUGAGGAACCACACUUUGAAAACCUUUAUGCCACAAAACACCCAAUCUUUGCCAGAGCCGAGGCUCCAUGACCAUUCAAGAAGAAUUUGCAGUGAGGUCAACAGGGACCUUGCAGAGUUUGAAAGAACUGGAAAGAAAAAGUGCACCUAAUUUCCACUCAACGUUUGGAUGUCAAGAUGGUGAUUAGCUAACAUAGAAAACACAAAGCUGAGAUGAUUGCAACCCUAACAAGAGAAACAGAGUCCAGAGAGCCCAUCUCCACCUCUUCUUUCAUGUGCCUGCAACCUGACUUCACCACUUGACAAAGCCUUGGGAUGAAGAGUUAAAAAUUAUAGAGUCAAUGCCUCCCAGAAGUCUAGAGCCAGAAAUAAUAUCCAGAUUCCACCUGGUCCAUUUAAUAAAUG
rnacentral:lncRNA from 1 species